rnacentral:rRNA from 1 species
CUGCAUGGCUGUCGUCAGCUCGUGUCGUGAGAUGUUGGGUUAAGUCCCGCAACGAGCGCAACCCUCGCCCCUAGUUGCCAUCAUUCAGUUGGGAACUCUAGGGGGACUGCCGGUGAUAAGCCGCGAGGAAGGUGGGGAUGACGUCAAGUCCUCAUGGCCCUUACAGGCUGGGCUACACACGUGCUACAAUGGCGGUGACAAUGGGCAGCGAAAGGGUGACCUCGAGCUAAUCCCAAAAAGCCGUCUCAGUUCAGAUUGUACUCUGCAACUCGAGUACAUGAAGGUGGAAUCGCUAGUAAUCGUGGAUCAGCAUGCCACGGUGAAUACGUUCCCGGGUCUUGUACACACC